AGCACGGGGGCAACCCUGGUGGCGAGUGGCGAACGGGUGAGUAAUACAUCGGAACGUGUCCUGUAGUGGGGGAUAGCCCGGCGAAAGCCGGAUUAAUACCGCAUACGCUCUACGGAGGAAAGGGGGGGAUCUUAGGACCUCCCGCUACAGGGGCGGCCGAUGGCAGAUUAGCUAGUUGGUGGGGUAAAGGCCUACCAAGGCGACGAUCUGUAGCUGGUCUGAGAGGACGACCAGCCACACUGGGACUGAGACACGGCCCAGACUCCUACGGGAGGCAGCAGUGGGGAAUUUUGGACAAUGGGCGAAAGCCUGAUCCAGCAAUGCCGCGUGUGUGAAGAAGGCCUUCGGGUUGUAAAGCACUUUUGUCCGGAAAGAAAACCUCCGCCCUAAUAUGGUGGGGGGAUGACGGUACCGGAAGAAUAAGCACCGGCUAACUACGUGCCAGCAGCCGCGGUAAUACGUAGGGUGCAAGCGUUAAUCGGAAUUACUGGGCGUAAAGCGUGCGCAGGCGGUCCGCUAAGACAGAUGUGAAAUCCCCGGGCUUAACCUGGGAACUGCAUUUGUGACUGGCG
rnacentral:rRNA from 1 species